UACGGGGGGGGCAAGCGUUGUUCGGAAUUACUGGGCGUAAAGGCCUCGUAGGUGGCCAACUAAGUCAGACGUGAAAUCCCUCAGCUUAACUGGGGAACUGCGUCUGAUACUGGAUGGCUUGAGAUUGGGAGAGGGAUGCGGAAUUCCAGGUGUAGCGGUGAAAUGCGUAGAUAUCUGGAGGAACACCGGUGGCGAAGGCGGCAUCCUGGACCAACACUGACACUGAGGAGCGAAAGCCAGGGGAGCAAACGGG
rnacentral:rRNA from 1 species